rnacentral:rRNA from 1 species
GGAAUAUUGCGCAAUGGGGGAAACCCUGACGCAGCCAUGCCGCGUGAGUGACGAAGGCCUUAGGGUUGUAAAGCUCUUUCGCUAGGGAAGAUAAUGACGGUACCUAGUAAAGAAGCCCCGGCUAACUCCGUGCCAGCAGCCGCGGUAAUACGGAGGGGGUUAGCGUUGUUCGGAAUUACUGGGCGUAAAGGGCGUGUAGGCGGAUGCAUUAGUCAGGGGUGAAAGCCAUGGGCUCAACCUGUGAACUGCCUUUGAUACUAUGCAUCUAGAGUCUGUGAGAGGAUGGCGGAAUACCCAGUGUAGAGGUGAAAUUCGUAGAUAUUGGGUAGAACACCAGUGGCGAAGGC